GAUAAACGCUGGCGGCGUGCUUAACACAUGCAAGUCGAACGAAGUUUUUCAUUCGUGGAAAACUUGGUGGCGGACGGGUGAGUAACGCGUGGGUAACCUGCCCUGUACAGGGGGACAACAGCUGGAAACGGCUGCUAAUACCGCAUAAGCCCUUAGCACUGCAUGGUGCAUAGGGAAAAGGAGUAAUCCGGUACAGGAUGGACCCGCGUCUGAUUAGCCAGUUGGCAGGGUAACGGCCUACCAAAGCAACGAUCAGUAGCCGAUCUGAGAGGAUGUACGGCCACAUUGGGACUGAGACACGGCCCAGACUCCUACGGGAGGCAGCAGUGGGGAAUAUUGCACAAUGGAGGAAACUCUGAUGCAGCGACGCCGCGUGAGUGAAGAAGUAUUUCGGUAUGUAAAGCUCUAUCAGCAGGGAAGAAAAUGACG
rnacentral:rRNA from 1 species